rfam:Lactobacillus senmaizukei DSM 21775 = NBRC 103853 strain DSM 21775 Scaffold50, whole genome shotgun sequence.
GCUGUCAAUGGUAGCGGACGAGCGCAGCGUGGGAGCAUAAGGAAUUGACAGCUCUUAACCA